GCCGGUCUCGGCGAGCGCGGCGAUCGCCAGGCCGUUCCAGGCGGCCACGAUCUUGUCGUCGCGGCCCGGGCGGGACCGCCGCUCGCGGGCCGCCA
rnacentral:tRNA from 1 species